rnacentral:hammerhead_ribozyme from 1 species
AUUCGGCUGACGAGUCCCAAAUAGGAUGGAAUGGUUGUCCUGGAU